CGUGGCUAACCUGCCCUUGGGACAGAGACACCCCCGGGAAACUGGGGCUAAUCCCUGAUAGGUGAAGAACUCUGGAAUGAGUCUUCACCCAAAAGACGCCUAGGCCACGCUUCUAGGUGCCGCCCAAGGAUGGGGCCGCGACCGAUCAGGUUGUUGGUGAGGUAACGGCCUACCAAGCCUUUUACCGGUACGGGCCGUGAGAGCGGGAGCCCGGAGAUGGGCACUGAGACAAGGGCCCAGGUCCUACGGGGCGCAGCAGUCGCGCAAACUUUGCAAUACACGAAAGUGUGACAGGGCUAUCCCGAGUGCCGUCCGCUGAGGGUGGCUUUUACCCAGUCUAGAAAGCUGGGAGAAUAAGGAGAGGGCAAGUCUGGUGUCAGCCGCCGCGGUAAUACCAGCUCUCCGAGUGGUGUGGAUGUUUAUUGGGCCUAAAGCAUCCGUAGCUUGCUGAUCAAGUCCCCUGUUAAACCCAACGAAUCAAUCGUUGGAUUGCGGGGGAUACUGCUCGGCUAGGGGACGAGAGAGGCCGACGGUAUUUUCGGGGUAGGGGUGAAAUCCUAUAAUCCCGAGAGGACCACCAGUGGCGAAGGCUGUCGGCUAGAACGCGCCCAACGGUGAGGGAUGAAAGCUGGGGGAGCGAACCGGAUUAGAUACCCGGGUAGUCCCAGCUGU
rnacentral:rRNA from 1 species